CGCCCCGCGCCGCUCCUGCCCGCGCUGCGCCUGCGGGGCCGCGGCUGCGGCAGCUCCCCGGCCAUGGCCAGGAGGAGGCCCCGGGGAGCGGAGCCUUCCCCUCGGGUACAGACCAGCAUGGAGUACAGGGGGUAAAUGGCUCCUUCUCUUCAGGCACCAUGGAAAAUCCUCAGCGAUGGAGGACGGGGCAGUGCCAGCUGGCCGAAGAUCAAUGAAGCCGUGAUUUGGAUUUCUCCUCCCACAGCGGUUCAUGCUCUGCCAGAGCUUCACCGCCAGGGCCGGGCCGCAAUUACAACAACUUGGACAAGCAAAGUCUACCCUCCAGUGGGGACAUCACCAGUGCCAUCACUGGGACAUCAAACCUCAUCACCAAUGCCAUCAUUAGGACAUCAAAUCCUAUCAUCAGCUCCUCCAGAGGAACAGUGGGAGAUGCUCCAUAAUCUGGUUCCUUGAAGAAAGUCUCCCAUGAUCUCCUUUCUGUCCUGGUUUUUAUUCCCCAUCUCUCUUAAGCCUUUGUUGUCACACCAGGAGACCUCUCUCCGUGAUAGGUGGACACCUGCCGGUAGCCGGCAGACACCUUAGAGUCACUGCGGCAGGGACGUGAAGAAAAUGGAUGUAAUUUGCAUAAGAGGAGCACAGAGCUCAUCAGAGUCUCACCCCAAAUGCUGGAUCCCACCGCUGCCUCGGGGACAAGGUCUUGGCAAGGAUGGAGGAAAUUCCUGAUCUUCCAAACAAAGUUUCAGUAUCUCUGGAGCUGAAGAGUUGCUGUGAGCUGCUCCCAGCAGAAAUUUGAAUGUGCACAAGCAGAAGGAGAUUUCUUUCAUUAGCUCUGAGGCUUGACCACGCAGGAAGCCCUUUGCUUUGACUGUCCUUUGGCAUCCAGAGCAGCAGCAGGAGGAGAAGACAGGACUGGUCCUCCAGCCAGCUUGCUGAUCGAUGUUUUCACAAAGCUGCCUGUCUUGGGGCUGCUGGGGAGGAGCUUUGCCACUAACACCGGGAGACACUGGUCCCUCUGUGACAGGAGUCACAGAAUCAACCAGAUUAAAGACCAGACGGACUCCAGGUGAAGACUUCCAAAGGUUUUGGUUGGCACAACUUUGCCAUUGGCCCUGCUCCAGCAGCAAGAGGGGCUGUUACAUGUUGCUUCUCCAGUAAAGUGGCAGCUACAGGACUUAAUUCAACGUGAACGUGGGCGUGACACACACGACAAGGAACCCAGCGGAAAGAAAAGCUGGGCUGGAGCAGGAUGGGCUGGGAUGGCAGGAGGAGAUUGGGACUUCUUUGAUGUGAGUUGAUAAUUUGAGCUGGUUGGCAUCUCCUCCUCCACACUGCCCUUUUCAAGACCCAGCAACGGUCAGCUCCCAAGAUGGGUUCGGCUGCCGGUCUUGGAUGGUGCCAUGGCAUCAUCCUCCUCACAGUCCCUUCCCAGGCCAUCUCCAGGUCCAAUAUUGUGGGGCAGGAGCAGCACCCCAUGUCAAUCAGCAAAAAAAGGUAUCCUGAGAAAUAGCGAAAGUGUACAGACUCAUGGAAUCCAGGGAGACGCGCCCCUUUCCCAGGC